CUCUCUCUCGAGAAAUGGAAAGACCUCAGUGUGGGGCUGCGGCCGCAUCGUCUGCCUGGUCCUCUCCUCGGUUUCUCAGCAUCAACGAUUAAUUUCUCUCAGCAACAAAUCUCUUGCUAUUAAUUUUCACGCCGGCACUCUGCCUUCUCUUACUAAUGAUCUCCUCCACCAACGCACAUUCCUUCCAUCUAGACAACAAGCUUUGUGUGAAGGAGCAGGUCCUUGUAUGCCUGUGCCCGGGCUGUGGAGCGAUCGAGGUUGAGCACCGGAGGAGCAGACUAUGGAGUCGCGGACGAGGGAGCAUCUAGCGGCGGGUCGGCGUGAAGGUUGGAGCUCGGCCGCCAUGGCGAUUUGGAGGCUGAGUGCUAGACACGGAGUACUCUGUUCCGCCAUCGGCUCAUCUGACCAUCCCUGUGAUAGAUCCACGCGCCACGGCCUCUGAUGGCACCGCCGCCACCGUGUAAUCGUGUCUCCCUCGUAUGCCUUCAGAUUGCGAGCUUCCUCAUGUAGUAAUCGAACGAAAAGCGAAGAAACUGAUCUCCCCGUGCUCUUCAACAGCCAGAUCCAAGCCACAGGACGAAACCUUUUGAUCUGCGUGUGGAAAUUAUGAUGGAUGUUGCCGUUGAUGGAAAAUAGGUUCCGACCGGCAUUGGCGACGAUGAACAAAAGACGCAUUGCUCCCUUUCUCAUCUUCAGGGGAUAAUGAAGUAUUCAUUGUUAUUCUUAUUUGUCUUUUGUAUCAGGCACUUGCGAAGUGGCGAUGAAGAUCGAAAGACGCGUUGCUCCCGUUCUCAUCUGAAAACAUACUUUUUUACAACAGAAUUUGUUUGUUAUAUAUUUUUAUUUCACCUUUUACGUGCAUCUACCCUGAUUGAAACCUGCACAUGUCUUUUGCUGAAUUCCACGGUUUCUUCAAACUACCAUAUGUCAUGGUCUUCCACCGUUUUGAAUUAGAAAAGCUCAGAAGAAAUACAUAGAUUUCUGA